rnacentral:lncRNA from 1 species
GUUUUUAUUUUGGGGGGUUUUGUAAGGUACUUUCUGUUAGAAUCUUUAUGAAAACAGUGAGAUGCUUGUUUGAAUUUGGUGGUGUGUAAUAUUUUUCAGCUCAUAUGAAAAUGGAAAACUAGGACCUGAACUAUUACCUAUAACAUUGCCAAAGUCUGAAGAAAAGCUAAAAGUUGAUAAAUAGAGAUUUAUUGUACUUAACAGGAGGUAAGAUCUUGACCAUGGCUGGAGAUCAGUCACUUUAUGGUAAAACUGCCUGGUUGAUUUAAGAGGCUGAAGGGUUGUUUUUAAUUUAGCAAGUUGUACAUUUAUUGGCACCUAAAUCUAGCAUGC